rnacentral:rRNA from 1 species
UACGUAGGGUGCAAGCGUUGUCCGGAAUUAUUGGGCGUAAAGAGCUCGUAGGCGGUCUGUCGCGUCUGCUGUGAAAACUCAGGGCUUAACCCUGAGCUUGCAGUGGGUACGGGCAGACUAGAGUGCGGUAGGGGAGACUGGAAUUCCUGGUGUAGCGGUGAAAUGCGCAGAUAUCAGGAGGAACACCGGUGGCGAAGGCGGGUUUCUGGGCCGUAACUGACGCUGAGGAGCGAAAGCAUGGGGAGCGAACAGG